UCUAUGAAUCUAGUGGAAACAUUUCUGCAAAAACUAUACUACUGAAACCAGUGUGCAGAAGUGUUUCUGCUACAUUUUCAGG
ensembl:miRNA